AUGUGGACAGCUCUUGUGGUCAUUUGGAUUUUCUCCUUGUCCUUAUCAGAAAGUCAUGCGGCAUCCAAGGAUCCACGCAACUUUGUCCCUAACAAAAUGUGGAAUGGAUUAGUCAAGAGGAAUGCAUCUGUGGAAACAGCUGAUAAUAAAACGUCGGAGCAAUAAAACUUCUGCCUAACCACUGCAGCAACUUCUCCUGUCACGUUGACCAAAGGGACUUCGGCAGCCCACCUCAACUCUGCGGAAGUCACAACAGAGCACACAAGCAGGACAGACUUGAGUGAACCAGCAACUUCAGGAAGUGCAGCUGAUGGUGCGGCCUCCAGUGCUCCCACGACUGAGGCCUCCAGUAUGACUGCGGCCUCCAGUGCUUCCACGACUGCGGCCUCCAGUAUGACUGCGGCCUCCAAUGCUCCCACGACUGCCGCCUCCAGCACUCCCGUGACAUUCGUACCCGUCACGCCCAUAUCCACAUCCGCUACCGCCACUGGGCAUCCAUCUCUCAGCACAGCCCUCGCACAAGUGCCAAAUAGCAGCACGGUGCCAAGAACAGCAACCCUGGCCACGUUGGCCACACAUGCUCAGACUGUGGCCACCACAGCAAACAUGGGCAGCCCCAUGAGCACUCCGCCAAGUCCUUCCAAGCACAUGCCCAGUGACACCACGGCAAGCCCUACAGCCCCUACGCAUCCCCAAGCACAAGGUCUCAUUAGCCAGGUGUCAGUGGACCAGCCUGUGGUUAACACAACCCCAGAGCCCACCCCCAACCUCACAGUGGUGACCACCACCAAGGCACAAGCCAAGGAGCCAACUGCCAGCCCAGUGCCAGUGCCUCACACCAGCCGAAUCCCUGAGGUGGAGGCCACAUCCCCCACGACACAGCCAAGCCCCACGCCAUACACCCAGAGAGCUGCUGGGCCAAGUACACCCCAGGCACCGGAGCAGGUAGCGACUGAAGCCACACCAAGUACUGAUUCCACUGGGCCAACACCCAGGAGCUCAGGGGGCCCUAAGAUGCUAGCCACGGACUCGUGCCAGCCCAGCACCCAAGGCCAGUACCUGGUGGUCACCACCGAGCCCCUCACCCAGGCCGUGGUGGACAAAACUAUCCUCCUGGUGGUGCUGUUACUCGGAGUGACCCUUUUCAUCACAGUCUUGGUUUUGUUUGCCCUGCAGGCCUAUGAGAGCUACAAGAAGAAGGACUACACCCAGGUGGACUACUUAAUCAAUGAGAUGUAUGCGGACUCGGAAAUGUGAGGGGGCGGGGCCUGGCGGGAAGCCGGGCCCCUUCCUUGUCCUUUCCUUUUGCCUUUGAGACCAAACCAAGUACUUCCAAAUUCUUUUGGUGCAAUUGAGGAGAUAUGCCAGAUGCUUAAACACAUUUAAUUGCUGUCAGGUUAAUUCCAUGAUCACUAAAGAGUUGCUGCUUUUUUCAA